CUGACCUUCAAUGGUUGCAAUAGUAGAGAAAUAGGGAAUCUCAUCCCACAAGCCGCAGCGUUCCUAGGGGUCAAAGGGGACUUGAAACUAUACAUAUUCACCUGUGAUCUCUGCAGGAAAGAAGUCUCAUCUUUGCCACACAGAGGGAAAAGGAUCCUGAGCUCAAGAGACCUUCACGGAAUAGGAAAGGCAAGAAUGCUGUAGACAACAUUAUGAAAAAGCUGAAGAUUGUAAAUGAAGACAAAGUGGAGAAUGUCAAGCCUACUCUACAGAUCCCCCAAAAGACAUACUAAAGCACUUCUGAUGACCCAUCGAACUUAAUUAUUUCAUGAGCGC
rnacentral:lncRNA from 1 species